AUUGAACGCUGGCGGCAUGCCUUACACAUGCAAGUCGAACGGCAGCGGGGGAGAAGCUUGCACCGCUGACGAGUGGCGAACGGGUGAGUAAUGCGUCGGAACGUGCCGAGUAGUGGGGGAUAACGCAGCGAAAGUUGUGCUAAUACCGCAUACGUACUGAGGUAGAAAGUGGGGGACCUUCGGGCCUCACGCUAUUCGAGCGGCCGACGUCUGAUUAGCUAGUAGGUGAGGUAAAGGCUCACCUAGGCGACGAUCAGUAGCGGGUCUGAGAGGAUGAUCCGCCACACUGGGACUGAGACACGGCCCAGACUCCUACGGGAGGCAGCAGUGGGGAAUUUUGGACAAUGGGCGAAAGCCUGAUCCAGCCAUGCCGCGUGUCUGAAGAAGGCCUUCGGGUUGUAAAGGACUUUUGUCAGGGAGGAAAUCCCUAGUGCUAAUAAUACUGGGGGAUGACAGUACCUGAAGAAUAAGCACCGGCUAACUACGUGCCAGCCGCCGCGGUAA
rnacentral:rRNA from 1 species